AAGGAAUAUUGGACAAUGGGCGAAAGCCUGAUCCAGCCAUGCCGCGUGCAGGAAGAAGGCGCUAUGCGUCGUAAACUGCUUUUACACCGGAGAAAACCCCCUUUCGUGAAAGGGGCUGAUAGUAUGGUGAGAAUAAGCAUCGGCUAACUUCGUGCCAGCAGCCGCGGUAAGACGAAGGAUGCAAGCGUUAUCCGGAUUCAUUGGGUUUAAAGGGAGCGUAGGCGGUCUUAUAAGUCAGUGGUGAAAUCUCCUCGCUUAACGAGGAAACUGCCAUUGAUACUGUAGGACUUGAGUAUAGUUGCUGUGGGCGGAAUAUGACAUGUAGUGGUGAAAUACUUAGAGAUGUCAUAGAACACCGAUUGCGAAGGCAGCUCACAAAACUAUAACUGACGCUGAGGCUCGAAAGUGCGGGGAUCAAAC
rnacentral:rRNA from 1 species